rnacentral:sRNA from 1 species
AUACAUAGUGUACAUUUCUUGUCGGGAAAAAUGUCAUUUAAUCUCCCAACUUUUAAAAAAUGGUCAUUUUAUAUAUCAACUUCGUAUGUGGCCGUUUAAAACAUGAACUAAACGUUGACUAAUUUUUAAAACAUGAUCUUUCGUUGACCAGGCCAAAAUAGACAUGCCGUUAUCAGUCAUUAACGGAAUUUCUAACGUCCGUUAUCAUCCGUUAACUUUAUUAGUCAAGUUUCAAAUUGUGGUCAUUUUAAACAUCAACUUUUUAUGUGGCCAUUUAAAACAUGAACUAAACGUUGACUACCAUUUAAGACAUGAAAAAUUUGUUGACCAAGCCAAAAUAGACAUGUCUUUAUCAGUAGAACCUAGAAACCGUUAAUGACUGUUAAUCUGUCCAAAACAACGUCGUUUGAGAAUAAUCGAAAGAACAUAAAGAUUUUUCCCAUAUAAAAUCUCCAUAUCAAAAAGUUUUAAGCAGAACCCAUAGUUUGAUAUAGAGAUAAUCACAGUGCCAGUAAUUGGAAGCAAAUAAAAGUGUUUUCGUUUAUAUAUUUGUUUUAAAUUUUAAAAGGAAUCAUGGAAGCAAAUUGAAGACUCAUUAUAAGAUUGUUCGUCUUGUUUGAGCGGUUGUAGAAAUAGAUUUGGGGAACUGGAGUUUCAUUUAGAAAACAAUCCUGAUUUUCUUUUGGUUAUUCUCAAAACAAAGUCGUUUUAGGGAUACUAAUAGAGUCGUUAACAAGUGAUAAUGAAUGUUAUAAGUUCUUUUAAUGAAUGAUGACAACAUGUUUAUUUUGGCUUGGUCAUCGAAUUUCUCAUGUUUUAAAUGGUAGUCAACGCUUAGUUCAUGUUUAAAAUGGCCACAUAUAAAGUCGAUGUUUAAAAUGACCACAAUUUAAAACUUGACUAAUAAAGUCGUUAACGGAUGAUAACGAACGUUAAAAGUUCCGUUAAUGACUGAUAGCGGCAUGUCUAUUUUGGCCUGGUCAACGAAUAAUCAUGUUUUAAAAUUUAAUCAACGUUUAGUUCAUGUUUUAAACGGCCGCAUACGAAGUUGAUGUAUAAAAUGGCCAUUUUUAAAAAGUUGAGGGAUUAAUUGACAUUUUUUCCAUUUCUUGGCUCCUUUUCUCUAACGUACAUUUAUCAGUUCAUCAUCCAAAAAUUCAAAAUU